GUGCCCACUUCGGCAGCACCUAUACUAUAAUUGGAACAAUACAGAGAAGAUUAGCAUGAUCCCUGCACAAGGAUGACAUGCAAAUUUCAUAUUUAAAAAAAUUUUUU
rnacentral:snRNA from 1 species